rnacentral:rRNA from 1 species
CUACGUGCCAGCAGCCGCGGUAAUACGUAGGGUGCGAGCGUUAAUCGGAAUUACUGGGCGUAAAGCGAGCGCAGACGGUUACUUAAGCAGGAUGUGAAAUCCCCGGGCUUAACCUGGGAAUUGCAUUUCAGACUGGGUAGCUAGAGUACUUUAGGGAGGGGUAGAAUUCCACGUGUAGCGGUGAAAUGCGUAGAGAUGUGGAGGAAUACCGAAGGCGAAGGCAGCCCCUUGGGAAUGUACUGACGCUCAUGUGCGAAAGCGUGGGGAGCAAACAGGAUUAGAUACCCUGGUAGUCCACGCAGUAAACGAUGAUAACUGGGCGUAUGCGAUAUACAGUAUGCUCCUAAGCGAAAGCGUUAAGUUAUCCACCUGGGGAGUACGCCGGCAACGGUGAAACUCAAAGGAAUUGACGGGGGCCCGCACAAGCGGUGGAGCAUGUGGUUUAAUUCGAUGCAACGCGAAGAACCUUACCUACUCUUGACAUCCAGA